GAUGAAGAACGUAGCGAAAUGCGAUAAGUAAUGCGAAUUGCAGAAUUCAGUGAGUCAUCGAAUCUUUGAACGCACAUUGCGCCCGCUAGUAUUCUGGCGGGCAUGCCUGUCCGAGCGUCAUUUCAACCCAUCAAGCUUAGCGCUUGUGUUGGAGCCCUGCGGCCGCCGCAGCCUCCUAAAAUCAGUGGCGGGUUCGCUAUCACGCUGAGUGCAGUAGUAUUCUUCUCACUCCUGUGGUGUAGCGGGUAACCAGCCGUAAACCCCCCCAUCUAUAAAGGUUGACCUCGGAUCAGGUAGGAAUACCCGCUGAACUUAAGCAUAUCAAUAAGCGGAGGA
rnacentral:misc_RNA from 1 species